rnacentral:rRNA from 1 species
CAGUCGCCACGGUAAUACGGAGGGUGCAAGCGUUACUCGGAAUUACUGGGCGUAAAGCGUGCGUAGGUGGUGGUUUAAGUCCGUUGUGAAAGCCCUGGGCUCAACCUGGGAAUUGCAGUGGAUACUGGGUCACUAGAGUGUGGUAGAGGAUAGUGGAAUUUCCGGUGUAGCAGUGAAAUGCGUAGAGAUCGGAAGGAACAUCUGUGGCGAAGGCGACUAUCUGGGCCAACACUGACACUGAGGCACGAAAGCGUGGGGAGCAAACAGGAUUAGAUACCCCUGUAGUCCCUGUCUCUUAUAC